GGCGGCGUGCCUAUACAUGCAGUCGAGCGCAUGAAAUUAUUUGAUUCUCUUCGGAGUUGACGAUAAUGGAAUGAGCGGCGGACGGGUGAGUAACACGUAGGCAACCUGCCUGUAAGACUGGGAUAACUCGUGGAAACGCGAGCUAAUACCGGAUAACACUUUUCAUCUCCUGAUGAGAAGUUGAAAGGCGGCUUUUGCUGUCACUUACAGAUGGGCCUGCGGCGCAUUAGCUAGUUGGUAAGGUAACGGCUUACCAAGGCGACGAUGCGUAGCCGACCUGAGAGGGUGAUCGGCCACACUGGGACUGAGACACGGCCCAGACUCCUACGGGAGGCAGCAGUAGGGAAUCUUCCGCAAUGGACGAAAGUCUGACGGAGCAACGCCGCGUGAGUGAUGAAGGUUUUCGGAUCGUAAAACUCUGUUGUUAGGGAAGAACAAGUACUAUAGUAACUGAUAGUACCUUGACGGUACCUAACCAGAAAGCCACGGCUAACUACGUGCCAGCAGCCGCGGUAAUACGUAGGUGGCAAGCGUUGUCCGGAAUUAUUGGGCGUAAAGCGCUCGCAGGCGGUUCUUUAAGUCUGAUGUGAAAUCUUACGGCUCAACCGUAAACGUGCAUUGGAAACUGGGGAACUUGAGUGCAGAAGAGGAGAGUGGAAUUCCACGUGUAGCGGUGAAAUGCGUAGAGAUGUGGAGGAACACCAGUGGCGAAGGCGACUCUCUGGUCUGUAACUGACGCUGAGGAGCGAAAGCGUGGGGAGCGAACAGGAUUAGAUACCCUGGUAGUCCACGCCGUAAACGAUGAGUGCUAGGUGUUAGGGGGUUUCCGCCCCUUAGUGCUGAAGUUAACGCAUUAAGCACUCCGCCUGGGGAGUACGGCCGCAAGGCUGAAACUCAAAA
rnacentral:rRNA from 1 species